ensembl:lncRNA
UACCUUAGUAUAUGUGACUCCCAAAAACUCUAAGAAUUUAUUCAAAGGUGCUCGCUUGUCAGAAAACUUUUAAAAGCGUGUGAUAUUCUUCCUGGGGGUGUAUAUGAACAGAUUUUGAUAUGAUUUCAUGUUGCCAAAAUGCUGUCAAUUCCACUUUAAUGCAUAUUGCAAUUGGUGGACAAAAUCCAUGGUAGUUAGUCAAGGCCAUUAUGGAGGAUAUUGUUGUGAAAUUUACAUGUUUGUUAACUUUUUUUUCAUGAAUGCAACUUUUGUUAUUCUCACUGUAAAUAUACAUUGUUGUCCUAUCUCUAGUGAUAAGCUACAGUGAUAAGCUACAGCUACGGUAUUUCCCAACUCAACAUGGCACUUGACUGAAUUACACAUUUCAUUCACAAGAAACUCUUUCUUCCUCUUUACCCAAUAAGAUACACAGCCCAGAGAGCUGAAGGGUUUAGCACUAUCUGGUCUAACAAUACUGUGGGUGUGGGUGGGUGUCCGUCCUAUCGCUCUUCCCUCCUCAGAGACAGCAAAGACAACUGCCCCCAAUUUAACCCCAGCUGUCCCCACCCACCCAACCUCACCUCGUCACAAUCCACAACAAGCCUCAAGGGUCAGGGUUCACUAAGCCCUGCCACCCACCCCCCCAUCAUGCCCGGUGUGUGUCAGUCAGGUCUUUUUUCCAGACCCCCCCCCCCCCCCCCUCCCCACAUACACACAGUCCUAACACGUGUAGCUGUGUGUCAGUCAUGUCUUUCCAGACCCCCCCCUCCCCACAUACACACAGUCUAACACGUGUAGCUGUGUGUCAGUCAUGUCUUUCCAGACCCCCCCCUCCCCACAUACACACAGUCUAACACGUGUAGCUGUGUGCAGUCAUGUCUUUCCAGACCCCCCCCCCCUCCCCCACAUACACACGUCAACACGUGUAGCUGUGUGUCAGUCAUGUCUUUCCAGACCCCCCCCCCCACAUACACACAGUCUACACGUGAGCUGUGUGUCAGUCAUGUCUUUCCUUCCAGACCCCCCCCCUCCCCACAUAACACAGUCUAACACGUGUAUGUGUGUCAGUCAUGUCUUUCCAGACCCCCCCCCCCUCCCCACAUACACACAGUCUAACACGUGUAGCUAUGUGUGUCAGUCAUGCUUCCAGACCCCCCCCCUCCCCACAUACACACAGUCUAACACGUGUACUAUGUGGUUUCAGUCAUUCUUUUCCAGACCCCCCCUCCCCACAUACACACAGUCUAAAACGUGUAGCUGUGUGUCAGUCAUGUCUUCCAGACCCCCCCCCCCCCCACAUACACACAGUCUAACACGUUGUAGCUGUGUGUCAGUCAUGUCUUUCCAGACCCCCCCCUCCCCACAUACACAGUCUAACACUGUGAGCUGUGUGUCAGUCAUGUCUUUCCAGACCCCCCCCUCCCCAUACACACAGUCUAACACGUGUAGCUGUGGUGUCAGUCAUGUCUUUCCAGACCCCCCCCCCCCCUCUCCCCACAUACACCAGUCUAACGUGUGCUGUGUGUCAGUCAUGUCUUUCCAGACCCCCCCCCCCACACAUACACACAGUCUAACACGUGGAGCUAGUGUCUUUUUGCGUGUCAGCUGCUUGAGUGAAAAUCUUCUUUUUUUCCCUCCUGAUGUCACAUUGGCAAUAAUGGAGAGAAAUCAUGGCUGGCAACUAUUUUCUUACAUUUUGUAAUGUUUUGUUUGUGUUUGGUUUUUCAACGUUGAAUUUGCGAUAUUUAUAUUUUUGUAUUAUGAGAUGUUUUUGUUUUGUUUACUUCCAUUAUUGGUCAUACAUGUCAGUGGAUAACAAAUGCAGGGAUUUUUAUGUCUAUUGAAAAACACUAUUACUAUUGUUUUGACAUGAAUGGUGUUCAAUCUGUAUAAAGUGCUUACUAAUGUUAAGUAGGGAAACCAGAGUAUAUAACAUUUACACUACAAGACUCACCAUAGCUCUUAGAGGAUUUUAAAAGGAAAAGAAACAGAUCUAUGGUUUUCUACAGAUGCCAUUUGGUCUUGGUUGGCGAGGAUAUAUAUUGUUUCAGUUACAAAGAUAAAUGUAUGCCAUAUAAUUUAUUUAUAUGAAAAUGUAUUUUUGUAGUGUACAUAGUUGUCAAGUUAUUUGACAGAAGUAUAUAUUUUUAAGAGUUUAUAUGUAAUAAUACCGUAACAGAGAAAAAUCCUACGGUGCACACUUUCAUCGCUAACUGGCUCUGACGGCAUUGACUGACUCGUCCCACUCAGUAUUAUCUAUCAUAGGGGAGAGAACUCAGCCAGCUGUUUCUAUGGGUUUGUCAAAGGCUGGCCAUGAAAGUAGAAGUUGUACCAGCUCUCUAAAUACUAAUGUUCAAACACUGAUAGAAUUCUAACAAAUACAAAUAUUAUAACUUAUUUGUCUCUUUUUUUUAAUAACUUUAAUAAAUGGAUCUUAAAGGAAUUGUUUGUUGUUGACUCAGAACAUGUUUUUGUUAAAGUCCCACUCGUUUUGAGUAAAAUAUAGUUUUUUACCUCUGAAUAUUGUUUACCAUGUACUGUAUGGUUUCACACUUUACAUUAUGUUGAACUGAUAUCAUUUAAAUGAGUAGUUACAUUAUGUUUACUUAAUGUAAAGUGUUGCCAGAACCCUUGAUUAUGGAGCAUUUCCCCCUGUACAUCACUAGGUCAAAACAUUUUAGGUGAACACUCAGGUACUCCUUGUCCAUUCCUCUCCUCUCCCACCUCGCCAUUGAAACUGGCUGACAUCUGGUCCUGAAUUCAGCAGCUCCCUCUAACAGCCACCUCCCUCGUUCCCCCCCCCCCCCCCCCUCUGCUCCCCUGUUUGGUAGGAUUUUGUAGACAGCUUUAUAACUGCAAGGAAAUUGGUUGUAGUUCCAUUUCAGCUGGUCUGUUCAGAGUAAUGAAAAAGGGCAUGUGGCCAGGAGCUAACUGAUGAAGAUCCAGUCAGACUACCUCCUCUCCCUGUUUACUGACUGACAAUGACUGGCUGGCUGGCUGACUGACUGAAUGAUUGACUAGCUGACUGACUGACUGACAAUGAUUGAUUGACUGGCUGACUGACAAUGACUGACUGGCUGAUUGACUGACUGGCUGACUGAAUGAAUGACGGGCUGACUGACUGAAUUACUAAAAUCCAGGCUCUUAAUGAACAAGUGUUUCCUGUACCUGUCCUUUCAG